rnacentral:rRNA from 1 species
GCGGUAAUACGGAGGGUGCAAGCGUUAAUCGGAAUUACUGGGCGUAAAGCGCACGUAGGCGGUUUGUUAAGUUGGAUGUGAAAGCCCCGGGCUCAACCUGGGAAUUGCAUUCAAAACUGGCAAACUAGAGUAUGUGAGAGGGGGGUAGAAUUCCAAGUGUAGCGGUGAAAUGCGUAGAGAUUUGGAGGAAUACCAGUGGCGAAGGCGGCCCCCUGGCACAAUACUGACGCUCAGGUGCGAAAGCGUGGGGAGCAAACAGGAUUAGAUACCCUGGUAGUCCACGCCGUAAACGAUGUCUACUAGCUGUUCGUGGUCUUGUACCGUGAGUAGCGCAGCUAACGCA